UACGGGGGGGGCAAGCGUUGUUCGGAAUUACUGGGCGUAAAGGGCUCGUAGGCGGCCAACUAAGUCAGACGUGAAAUCCCUCAGCUUAACUGGGGAACUGCGUCUGAUACUGGAUGGCUUGAGAUUGGGAGAGGGAUGCGGAAUUCCAGGUGUAGCGGUGAAAUGCGUAGAUAUCUGGAGGAACACCGGUGGCGAAGGCGGCAUCCUGGACCAACACUGACGCUGAGGAGCGAAAGCCAGGGGAGCAAACGGG
rnacentral:rRNA from 1 species